rnacentral:rRNA from 1 species
UACGAAGGGGGCUAGCGUUGCUCGGAAUUACUGGGCGUAAAGGGCGCGUAGGCGGUCUGCUAAGCGUGCGGUGAAAGCCUGGGGCUCAACCCCAGGUCUGCCGUGCGAACUGGUGGACUUGAGCACUGUAGAGGCAGGUGGAAUUCCGGGUGUAGCGGUGGAAUGCGUAGAGAUCCGGAAGGACACCGGUGGCGAAGGCGGAUCUCUGGGCCUUGCCUGACGCUGAGGCGCGAAAGCUAGGGGAGCGAACAGG